rnacentral:rRNA from 1 species
GACGAACGCUGGCGGCGUGCUUAACACAUGCAAGUCGAACGGAAAGGCCCUGCUUUUGUGGGGUGCUCGAGUGGCGAACGGGUGAGUAACACGUGAGUAACCUGCCCUUGACUUUGGGAUAACUUCAGGAAACUGGGGCUAAUACCGGAUAGGAGCUCCUGCUGCAUGUUGGGGGUUGGAAAGUUUCGGCGGUUGGGGAUGGACUCGCGGCUUAUCAGCUUGUUGGUGGGGUAGUGGCUUACCAACGCUUUGACGGGUAGCCGGCCUGAGAGGGUGACCGGCCACAUUGGGACUGAGAUACGGCCCAGACUCCUACGGGAGGCAGCAGUGGGGAAUAUUGCACAAUGGGCGGAAGCCUGAUGCAGCAACGCCGCGUGCGGGAUGACGGCCUUCGGGUUGUAAACCGCUUUCGCCUGUGACGAAGCGUGAGUGACGGUAAUGGGUAAAGAAGCACCGGCUAACUACGUG